UUCCAGACUCCUACGGGAGGCAGCAGUGGGGAAUAUUGCACAAUGGGGGAAACCCUGAUGCAGCGACGCCGCGUGAGCGAUGAAGUAUUUCGGUAUGUAAAGCUCUAUCAGCAGGGAAGAAGAUGACGGUACCUGACUAAGAAGCCCCGGCUAACUACGUGCCAGCAGCCGCGGUGAUACGUAGGGGGCAAGCGUUAUCCGGAUUUACUGGGUGUAAAGGGAGCGUAGACGGCGAUGCAAGCCAGAUGUGAAAGCCCGGGGCUCAACCCCGGGACUGCAUUUGGAACUGUGUGGCUGGAGUGUCGGAGAGGCAGGCGGAAUUCCUAGUGUAGCGGUGAAAUGCGUAGAUAUUAGGAGGAACACCAGUGGCGAAGGCGGCCUGCUGGACGAUGACUGACGUUGAGGCUCGAAAGCGUGGGGAGCAAACAGGAUUAGAUACCCGGGUACC
rnacentral:rRNA from 1 species